UCUUUGUCUCACAGUUUCGGAACUAAAAGAGGUUUAGUCAUGAGGGAACGCUGUGCGAAUCGGCGACAGUACCCGCUGCUGUAAUUCUCGUUGAAUCCGUACACGAUGCCACUUCAUUCGAUGAGGGAAGGCGUACGAGGGAGAGAUAAGUCAGAAGACCUGCCGGAACAAACCUACAUAUU
rnacentral:ncRNA from 21 species